UACAGAGGUCCCAAGCGUUGUUCGGAUUCAUUGGGCGUAAAGGGUGCGUAGGCGGCGCGGUAAGUCGGAUGUGAAAUCUCGGGGCUUAACUCCGAAACUGCAUUCGAUACUGCCGUGCUUGAGGACUGGAGAGGAGACUGGAAUUCAUGGUGUAGCAGUGAAAUGCGCAGAUAUCAGGAGGAACACCCGUAGCGAAGGCGGCACUCUGGGCCGAUACUGACACUGAGGAGCGAAAGCGUGGGGAGCGAACAGG
rnacentral:rRNA from 1 species